ACGCUGGCGGCAGGCCUAACACAUGCAAGUCGAGCGGUAGAGAGAAGCUUGCUUCUCUUGAGAGCGGCGGACGAGUGAGUAAUGCCUAGGAAUCUGCCUGGUAGUGGGGGAUAACGUUCGGAAACGGACGCUAAUACCGCAUACGUCCUACGGGAGAAAGCAGGGGACCUUCGGGCCUUGCGCUAUCAGAUGAGCCUAGGUCGGAUUAGCUAGUUGGUGAGGUAAUGGCUCACCAAGGCGACGAUCCGUAACUGGUCUGAGAGGAUGAUCAGUCACACUGGAACUGAGACACGGUCCAGACUCCUACGGGAGGCAGCAGUGGGGAAUAUUGGACAAUGGGCGAAAGCCUGAUCCAGCCAUGCCGCGUGUGUGAAGAAGGUCUUCGGAUUGUAAAGCACUUUAAGUUGGGAGGAAGGGCAGUUACCUAAUACGUGAUUGUUUUGACGUUACCGACAGAAUAAGCACCGGCUAACUCUGUGCCAGCAGCCGCGGUAAUACAGAGGGUGCAAGCGUUAAUCGGAAUUACUGGGCGUAAAGCGCGCGUAGGUGGUUUGUUAAGUUGGAUGUGAAAUCCCCGGGCUCAACCUGGGAACUGCAUUCAAAACUGACUGACUAGAGUAUGGUAGAGGGUGGUGGAAUUUCCUGUGUAGCGGUGAAAUGCGUAGAUAUAGGAAGGAACACCAGUGGCGAAGGCGACCACCUGGACUGAUACUGACACUGAGGUGCGAAAGCGUGGGGAGCAAAC
rnacentral:rRNA from 1 species